GACGAACGCUGGCGGCGUGCUUAACACAUGCAAGUCGAACGGAAAGGCCCUGCUUUUGUGGGGUGCUCGAGUGGCGAACGGGUGAGUAACACGUGAGUAACCUGCCCUUGACUUUGGGAUAACUUCAGGAAACUGGGGCUAAUACCGGAUAGGAGCUCCUGCUGCAUGGUGGGGGUUGGAAAGUUUCGGCGGUUGGGGAUGGACUCGCGGCUUAUCAGCUUGUUGGUGGGGUAGUGGCUUACCAAGGCUUUGACGGGUAGCCGGCCUGAGAGGGUGACCGGCCACAUUGGGACUGAGAUACGGCCCAGACUCCUAAGGGAGGCAGCAGUGGGGAAUAUUGCACAAUGGGCGGAAGCCUGAUGCAGCAACGCCGCGUGCGGGAUGACGGCCUUCGGGUUGUAAACCGCUUUCGCCUGUGACGAAGCGUGAGUGACGGUAAUGGGUAAAGAAGCACCGGCUAACUACGU
rnacentral:rRNA from 1 species